rnacentral:tRNA from 2 species
UCUAAUGUGGCAGAUUAGUGCAAUGA